AAUGAACGUUGGCGGCGUGGAUUAGGCAUGCAAGUCGUACGGGUCGGUGUAGCAAUACAACGGCAAGUGGCGAAAGGGAGAGUAACACGUAGAUACCUACCCUCUGGUCGGGGAUACCGCGGCAUAACCGCAAGUAAUACCCGAUAAAAUCUCCGGAUCAAGGGUGUGAUUCCGCCGGAGGAGGGGUCUGCGUUCUAUCAGCUUGUUGGUGAGGUAAUGGCUCACCAAGGCUAAGACGGAUACGGGGUGUGAGAGCAUGCCCCCGCUCACUGGGACUGAGACACUGCCCAGACACCUACGGGUGGCUGCAGUCGAGAAUCUUCGGCAAUGGGCGCAAGCCUGACCGAGCGACGCCGCGUGCGGGAUGAAGGCCUUCGGGUUGUAAACCGCUGUCGAGGGGAAUGAAGUGCAAGUGAGUUAUCUCAUUUGUUUGACAGAUCCCUGGAGGAAGCAUGGGCUAAGUUCGUGCCAGCCGCCGCAGUAAGAC
rnacentral:rRNA from 1 species